rnacentral:tRNA from 1 species
AAGUUUUAUAUUCAAUAUAUGAUUUUAAAUUGCAAAUUUAAAGUAGUAAUGCUCACUUACUAAAACUU